rnacentral:rRNA from 1 species
UACAGAGGGGGCAAGCGUUGUUCGGAAUUACUGGGCGUAAAGGGCGCGUAGGCGGCCCGCUAAGUCGAACGUGAAAUCCCCGAGCUCAACUCGGGAACUGCGUCCGAUACUGGUGGGCUUGAAUCCGGGAGAGGGAUGCGGAAUUCCAGGUGUAGCGGUGAAAUGCGUAGAUAUCAGGAGGAACACCGGUGGCGAAGGCGGUUCUCUGGGCCUUACCUGACGCUGAGGAGCGAAAGCGUGGGGAGCAAACAGG